rnacentral:rRNA from 1 species
GAGUUUGAUCGUGGCUCAGAUUGAACGCUGGCGGAAUGCUUUACACAUGCAAGUCGAGCGGCAGCGCGGGGCAGCCUGGCGGCGAGCGGCGAACGGGUGAGUAAUGCAUCGGAACAUGUCCAUGUCGUGGGGGAUAGCCCGGCGAAAGCCGGAUUAAUACCGCAUACGCCCGAGAGGGGAAAGUGGGGGACCGCAAGGCCUCACGCGAUUGGGUUGGCCGAUGUCCGAUUAGCUAGUUGGCGGGGUAAGAGCCCACCAAGGCGAUGAUCGGUAGCUGGUCUGAGAGGAUGAUCAGCCACACUGGGACUGAGACACGGCCCAGACUCCUACGGGAGGCAGCAGUGGGGAAUUUUGGACAAUGGGGGAAACCCUGAUCCAGCCAUUCCGCGUGAGUGAAGAAGGCC